rnacentral:rRNA from 1 species
UAGGGAAUCUUCCGCAAUGGACGCAAGUCUGACGGAGCAACGCCGCGUGAGUGAAGAAGGAUUUCGGUUCGUAAAACUCUGUUGUUAGAGAAGAACAGCGCAUAGAGUAACUGUUAUGCGUGUGACGGUAUCUAACCAGAAAGCCACGGCUAACUACGUGCCAGCAGCCGCGGUAAUACGUAGGUGGCAAGCGUUGUCCGGAUUUAUUGGGCGUAAAGCGCGCGUAGGCGGUUUUUUAAGUCUGAUGUGAAAGCCCACGGCUCAACCGUGGAGGGUCAUUGGAAACUGGAAAACUUGAGUGCAGAAGAGGAAAGUGGAAUUCCAUGUGUAGCGGUGAAAUGCGCAGAGAUAUGGAGGAACACCAGUGGCGAAGGCGACUUUCUGGUCUGUAACUGACGCGGAUGUGCGAAAGCGUGGGAAUCAAACAGG